rnacentral:rRNA from 1 species
GCUGAAUGUGGGGAUAAUUUAUCUCCGUGUUGUAGCUAACGCGUUAAGCACUCCGCCUGGGGACUACGGUCGCAAGACUAAAACUCAAAGGAAUUGACGGGGACCCGCACAAGCGGUGGAGCAUGUGGUUUAAUUCGAUGCAACGCGAAAAACCUUACCACUCCUUGACAUGGAGAUUAGAUCCUUCUUAACGGAAGGGCGCAGUUCGGCUGGAUCUCGCACAGGUGCUGCAUGGCUGUCGUCAGCUCGUGUCGUGAGAUGUUGGGUUAAGUCCCGCAACGAGCGUAACCCUCAUCCUUAGUUGCCAGCGGGUAAUGCCGGGCACUUUAAGGAAACUGCCGGUGGUAAACUGGAGGAAGGUGGGGAUGAUGUCAAGUCAGCACGGCCCUUAUGGGGUGGGCUACACACGUGCUACAAUGGUGACUACAAUAGGUUGCAAUGUCGCAAGGCUGAGCUAAUCCGUAAAAGUCAUCUCAGUUCGGAUUGUCCUCUGCAACUCGAGGGCAUGAAGUCGGAAUCGCUAGUAAUCGUGGAUCAGCAUGCCACGGUGAAUACGUUCUCGGGUCUUGUACACACUGCCCGUCACGCCAUGGGAAUUGGC